GUGAAGAUGGCGGAUGUGUUGAGCGUUCUUCGUCAGUACAACAUCCAGAAAAAGGAAAUCGGAAAUUAAACGAUGUGGUGUCCGCAUCUGGAUCAUUGCGUCAGAUGAGAAGCUCUUGCGUGGCCUGUGUUUUCACAGUGUAAGACCCGAAGUCACCAAGAAUGCUAAUGACAAGUUUGACGCGGUUUAGGCGAGUGACAGCGGCCUCGCCCCGAUGCUCAGACUGCAAGCCGGCUUCUUCUUCUAUCUUCGGAAGCCGAUUACCAGUCGGUUGGGCAGCGGAGCGCCACCUACCGUCCAGCGCUGAUAGUUACUCCUACUACUACGACAAC